GUCCAGGGUAGCCUAGUGGACAUGGCAUCUGCCCGGUAAGCGGAACGUUGUGGGUUCGAUUCCCUCCCUGGACA
rnacentral:tRNA from 1 species